UAUGGCGGCGAGCAGGCGAAUGUGUCUGUCCAACCCGGCUGUGAAUAUCCGCCAUAGGGCCGAUUCUGCAGCCGGGACAGUGCCCGAUAAAGUACGAACAAUGAAUCCAGAAUCUCUACUAGAUAUCUGUGCAAAAGCUACGGCUACUAACGUGCCGUUUCAACGUGUAGAAGAGAGAGUUUCGCGGAUACCCGAACCAGUUCAACAACGAAUCAUCUUCUGGUCGUUCCCGAGAAAUGAGAGAGACAUUUGUAUGUACUCGUCGUUAUCCAAUAUACCAGCCAGUGGACCCGACUAUCAAAAAUUACCCUUCCAUAAAGGCGUGAGACUACUAGAGUCUGGAUGUGUGGAUAACGUUCUACAAGUCGGUUUUCAUCUGAGUGGAACCGUACGAGAGGGUGGGAACCCAAUAUAUACAGACAGGAGAACUAUAUAGGGUAUCAAUUAGCUUUGACAGAUGCAAGAUUACCUCAGUCACGUGUAGUUGCGGGAACAAAGACAUAUUCUGGUGCCAGCAUGUGGUGGCGCUAUCGUUGUAUAGGA